CCUACGGGAGGCAGCAGUGGGGAAUAUUGCACAAUGGAGGGAACUCUGAAGCAGCGACGCCGCGUGGGUGAAGAAGGAUUUCGGUAUGUAAAGCCCUAUCAGUCGGGAAGAAAAUGACGGUACCUGAAAAAUAAGCACCGGCUAAAUACGUGCCAGCAGCCGCGGUAAUACGGAGGGAGCAAGCGUUAUCCGGAAUUACUGGGUGUAAAGGGAGAGUAGGUGGGAGAGCAAGUCCGAUGUGAAAACCUAAGGCUUAACUAUGGGAAUGCAUUUGAAACUGCUAAGCUAGAGUGUAGGAGAGGUAGGUGGAAUUCUUAGUGUAGCGGUGAAAUGCGUAGAUAUCAGGAGGAAUACUCGUUGCGAAGGCGGCCUGCUGGACCAUAACUGACGCUGAGGCUCGAAAGCGUGGGGAGCAAACAGGAUUAGAUACCCCAGUAGUC
rnacentral:rRNA from 1 species